AUUAUUUUGUUAAAUAAUAAUAAUAGAUGGUGUGAGUGUAUGUGUGUGUGUGUGUGUGUAUGUGUGUAUAUAAUGUAUAUAAUGUAUCACAGACGGGGAACCUGGGGUGGAACUCUCUAUUUUAUACUACUUAGCAUAACGAUAUUACAAUAUUAUUACCAACACCGUAAACCUGUACGUCAAUAACUAUAUUUUGUAUCAUGUUUUUUAUUUUACGCUCCUCCACAGAUCUAUUACUGUAUUUGUUGAUUUGUUGAAUAUACAAAAUAUACAUAAUUGCUAUUAACAAAACAAUAAUUUUACACUGUGUUAUUUGAUUUGUUUUAUUCCUUCUUUAAUUGACUACCGACCUCUAUCCGAUACCCGAACGUCCUGAACCGGCCCCGCGGUCCUAGCGGAUCGCGAGUCGCUAUCGUCGCGGUCUCGGGGUGUGUGUCGACGCCUAAGAUAUAAUCACGGACGACGAUAAUCCUACACGUAUGUAUGUUUGUAUGUU